AACGAACGCUGGCGGCGUGCCUAACACAUGCAAGUCGAGCGUGAAAGUUCCUUCGGGAAUGAGUAAAGCGGCAGACGGGUGAGUAAUACAUAGGUAACCUACCUUUGAGCUUGGGAUAACCCCGCGAAAGUGGGGCUAAUACCGGAUAAGACCACGUGACAUACGUUGCGCGGUAGAAGGUGGUUUGUAUUUAUACUGGCUAUCAAUUGAGGAUGAGCCUAUGGCCUAUCAGCUUGUUGGCGGGGUAAAAGCCCACCAAGGCUAUGACGGGUAGUUGGUCUGAGAGGACGACCAACCACACUGGGACUGAGACACGGCCCAGACUCCUACGGGAGGCAGCAGUGGGGAAUAUUGGGCAAUGGGCGAAAGCCUGACCCAGCGACGCCGCGUGGGUGAUGAAGGCCUUCGGGUUGUAAAGCCCUGUCAUGCGGAAAGAACAGUUCUGUGGUUAAUACCCGCAGAAUUUGACGGUACCGCAGGAGGAAGCACCGGCUAACUCCGUGCCAGCCGCCGCCGUAAUAC
rnacentral:rRNA from 1 species